UACGGAGGGUGCGAGCGUUGUCCGGAAUCACUGGGCGUAAAGGGCGCGUAGGCGGCCAGAUAAGUCCGGUGUGAAAGUCACAGGCUCAACCUGUGAAUGCCGCUGGAAACUGUCUGGCUAGAGUCCGGAAGGGGCGAGUGGAAUUCCUGGUGUAGCGGUGAAAUGCGCAGAUAUCAGGAGGAACACCAAUGGCGAAGGCAGCUCGCUGGAACGGUACUGACGCUGAGGCGCGAAAGCGUGGGGAGCGAACAGG
rnacentral:rRNA from 1 species